rnacentral:lncRNA from 1 species
UCCCCCCCCCUUUUCUUUUUAGACAGACUACAUUUUUCCCCAGUUUCAUGUCUUAUUCAGUCAUCUCAAACUUUGUCAGCAUUCAGGGCACCAAAACUAUUUUCAGUCUUGUAGGCUGGAAUAAAAUGGAGUCCAAGACACAUUUCAAGGAAUUUCAUCAAGCUUCAGAGAAAAAAGAAGCAAGGAUGAUGCCAGGAGAUACAGCAUGCAGAAUUUCAAGAAUAGUGGCUUCUUUUGAAAGAAGCAUUGAUUUGGAGGGUGAGCAGUGCAUCUGAUAAUAGCUUCCAUACUACUUAUGAAUGCAUGAAGUAUCUACUUCUACACUCUACAAUGCUAUGUAGAAAUGCUGCGUGUGACGAAUUACUUGUAAGACAAAAUAUGAUUUUCUUCCUCAUCUAAAAUAAUUAAGAUUUUAUUUUUCUUUGUGUUCACCAUUUUCCUUCUGGGAUUUUAUACUUCUAUGUCAAAAGUUCUGUGUACAGGAAGG